AUCCUGACCCUAUCUGCGCAAGAAGACCCAACCGGUUUCCUGAUGGCGCUUAACCUGCCGCGGAAGGCAAAUCCUGUGACAAAUGCAGAAACCACACUGACGACUGAAGAGACCAGCACGGCACGGAGACGGAAUUCAGAGGCGGGAACUAAGCAUAGAGAGCCAAGAAGGCUGAACCCACCAUAGACCAGCUCGAGAGACGGAGGGUAGGUGACAUCACUACCCCAGGGACUUACCAAGAACUGUAACACACCCCUGACAGAUGCAGAUGAAGAGAUCCCAAGCAGUUAAUGCGGUACACUUUCAUCGAAAACUUUACCCUCCUGGACUUAAUUCUAUUAUACUGAGGACUUACCCUCCAG